GUCCACGCCGUAACGAUGAAUACUAGGUGUUGGAGCAAGCUUUCGGUGCCGCAGCAACGCAAUAAGUAUUCCACCUGGGAGUACGUUCGCAAGAAUGAACUCAAGGAAUUGACGGGACCCGCACAAGCGGUGGAGCAUGUGGUUAAUUCGAAGCAACGCGAAGAACCUUUACCAAAUCUUGACAUCGAUCUGACCGGACUGUAAUGAGUCCCUUUCCCUUCGGGGACAGAGAAGACAGGUGGUGCAUGGUUGUCGU
rnacentral:rRNA from 1 species